rnacentral:rRNA from 1 species
UACGUAGGGUGCAAGCGUUGUCCGGAAUUAUUGGGCGUAAAGAGCUCGUAGGCGGUUUGUCGCGUCGGCUGUGAAAUCUCGGGGCUUAACUCCGAGCCUGCAGUCGAUACGGGGCAGACUUGAGUUCGGUAGGGGAGACUGGAAUUCCUGGUGUAGCGGUGAAAUGCGCAGAUAUCAGGAGGAACACCGGUGGCGAAGGCGGGUCUCUGGGCCGAAACUGACGCUGAGGAGCGAAAGCGUGGGGAGCGAACAGG